AUGAUUGAAUACCAUGUACAAGUAUGGGGACAAAAUAGUAAACAACAAAUAAAGGAUACUGGACGGAGAUACUGGACGGACGCAUGGAGCAUGAACUCCUCUUUUUCAGGGGCCACCUUACUUGUGUGCCCUCAGGACGAGGAGACCUUUCUAAGAUUGGAGAUGCGAACACUAGCUGUUUGUAAAUGCACAAGGAGGAGUGCUCAGGGGAGUACGAUAGCUUUCAGUGUACAUGGAGGAUGUGAAAGCGACGACAGAGGAGCUUGCUGUAGCUACUCGACUGCUCCGGGAAUCGUCCCUCCUGACAGAAGCAAGCACGAUGCCAUGUCCUAG
rnacentral:rRNA from 1 species